AAACGCAUUCAGUUCCAUUGGAUGCUGGGAGCUUCUCUGAGUCCUGUCACCAAAUGUGCCAUGGUUGGAAGCAACAAAACGUGACCCUGGUACCUGUCCGUUGUGAGACCCGGAUGUUCAGCUUUCCUUCUAUUAGAUGAGAUCCCGUAGGUUCACGUGAGACGAGACAUCACAGAUUCGGAGUGCCAGGAAGAGAAUGGAAUGUGUCACCUGUUUGUCCCGCAACGAGAGAGGGCAAAGCACCUUCCAUAAUUAUCCUAUAGAGACUGAAGAACAUCAAGCAAAAUAGAAGAGAAAGAGAAACAGAUUAUUUAGAAGACAAAUUGUGAAUUAACCAAGUAGAGUUUGGACCAUGAGGGGAUCAUUUUCUGAUGAGUGAGAACCAUGGAGAGCAGCCCGGGAUUGUUGACUGGAAUCAGAAAGACCCAGGUUUAAGUCUCAGCAACUCUACUGUGUGACCCUGUGCAAAUUACUUAACCUCUCUGAACCUCAGAGGCUUGAUCUGUAGAAAAGACAUAUGAACACUUCUUUGAAAGUUUGUGCUGAGGAUUAGGAAUAAUGUAUAUAAAGUAUUAGCAUAGAUUCUCUUGUAGGUGGUCACACAACUUGUCAAAAAAGGUAGAAAUUUUUGUUUCCUCUCCUGGGCAAUGAGUCUGAAAGCUCAGCCAACGCUAUCAACUCUCUCUCUUGACAAUUUAAAUUGAAUUGAAUGGAUGAAGAUCGUUCAUGUUAGUGGUGUUACCCCAAAGAAGCUGUUUAUUACCUCCUGCUAUCUAGACCCAUAAAAAGCCCUUGUUCCUGUCCUUGCUGAAGUCUGACUGUCCAGUUCUUCCUGCAGUCCUACAGCUAGCCCACAUGCUUCUAGUAAUUCCCUCUCUGCUGAUUACCCAGAGAAGUUUCAGUAACUUGCUUCUAAAAGACCUUAACUGAUUCAGUUCAUAUUAUUAAUAUUAGUAGUAGCAUUUGCAUCCCUAAUAUGAACUAUUAUAAUUAUUACACUUACGAUUGGUGUUCACGUCUUUCUUAGAAGUAAAAAUCUUAACUGGGCCCUAGGCUUGAGGAUGAUGGAAAUAGGAUGGGACUUUACACAUAUUAGCAGACAGCACACUUCCUCCCUAGAUUCUUCAGAGUUGAAGACACACCAUGUGCUUUGUCUCAAAUGCACAGGAGACCUUACCAAGAUCCUGGCCUAGAGGAGAAAGACCAAAGCUUAGCCUGUUUCGCUGCCUGCCACAAUGGAUGCUGAAGAAAAUACUGAAUUUGUGUGCCCAUCUCAGAAGCACAGAGCUCAGAGGGGUAUAAGUGUAAAUUCAAACCCCAGAGACACAAGGGUGCUAAGACCAGACGGGCCCUUGGAGAUCAAUCAAAUAUCCUGUGUUUCUUGAAUGGGCAUAGACACAUAUGUCCAUCCCAUGCCAAAAUUUGAUUAUAUUGCGUCCUACUGCUGUGCGAAUUUUCCUUGGAGGUUGUUAUGUUAGAUUAGAAUAAACACAAACAUACAUGGAUUUUUGUGGUCUCUUGUUUAUCCUUAAGAAGUUUCGCUCCUAAGUUCAGCUGGCUUGAGUUCCAUCUCCAGCUGUUCAAAGUUGACUCCAACACAUUUUAUAGAUGGGAAAACCGAGGCCCAGUGGGAGGAGACCCUUGACCAAGGUCACACAGUGAGCAAAUCUCAGGGCCAAUCCUGCAACCAGGCCGCCUCCUUUUCCAGCCCAAUUAAGAAGGAAAGAAAGAGCUAAGGGAGGACAAAAAUGUGGUGGUGGCUUUGGUUUCCUUUUAUUUUAAAUCAAGAGUAAUUUUUUUUUUCCAGAUCUAUCCUUGGGUUUUUGGUCUGCAGCUCUGAGAAGGUAGAU
rnacentral:lncRNA from 1 species